GCCAGUGCUCGGGAAACAAUGGCCUUGCUGGGAUCAAAGAGAGUGAGGCCCAGACAAGGGACAAAAGCUGAAUCCCAGCAGGGUCACCCACUGGGUAUUUUAGGCAAGAUUCAUCCAUCUGGCAACCUGCCUUGGCAUGCCCCAAACAGCUAACCCUCCAGGAGCAGGUGACGAGGCAACUUCUCAUCUUGCUGCUCUCUUGUAUUCUUGAAACAACCUUGAGAAUUAGGUAGUAUUCACCUGGAGUAGAUAAGGAUCCCAGAAGCAAGUAAUGAAACACAGCUUGUAAACCCAGAACUAAAGCAGAGGCCACUUCUUCAGGCCUCAAGCCCCAUGCCUGUUCUACCACUCUGUGCUUCCUGAUACAAUGUGAAUGACAGGAGCGCGGACCAUCUGACAGUCACAUCUCAUCAGAAAGCACUGGAGGAACCAGGAAUUCUGGACCUGGAGGAGAGAAGACUUAGAAAGCAAACAUUUCUUCCAGCACAUGCCAGGACGACAAAUUGCCUGAUGCAAAAGCAAGCAAUAACGUCUAUAAGGAAGGGGCGCCUGGGUGGCUCAGACAACAGUU